ACUUCAUCAUACGAUGCGCAAUAAUUGCAACCAGCCUCCGCGAAGUAAUACUUAACGGUGGUCUCGCGGGGGAGAUUGGUAAUAGAAGCGUGUGGGGGUAGCUUUCAGUGCGUAUGGCCCAUGGAUGGCGAAUGGUGCAUGCUGCUACUAAGAAACAGCAGUAUCUUUUGAAGAUUUUCUACCUUCAGCUCGC
rfam:Glossina fuscipes fuscipes unplaced genomic scaffold Scaffold39, whole genome shotgun sequence.